rnacentral:rRNA from 1 species
ACGUAGGAGGCGAGCGUUAUCCGGAUUUACUGGGCGUAAAGCGCACGCAGGUGGCUUCGUAAGUCGGACAUGAAAGCUCCUGGCUUAACUGGGAGAGGUGGUUCGAUACUGCGGGGCUUGAGGUUGGGAGAGGGACGUGGAAUUCCCGGUGUAGUGGGGAAAUGCGUAGAUAUCGGGAGGAACACCAGUGGCGCAGGCGGCGUCCUGGCCCACACCUGACGCUGAGGUGCGAAAGCGUGGGGAGCAAACAG